CAGUAGCCGCGGUAAUACGGAGGGUGCAAGCGUUAAUCGGAAUUACUGGGCGUAAAGCGCACGCAGGCGGUCUGACAAGUCAGAUGUGAAAUCCCAGGGCUUAACCUGGGAACUGCAUUUGAAACUGUCAGGCUGGAGUCCUGUAGAGGCAGGUGGAAUUCCAGGUGUAGCGGUGAAAUGCGUAGAGAUCUGGAGGAAUACCGAUGGCGAAGGCGGCCCCCUGGACAAAGACUGACGCUCAGGUGCGAAAGCGUGGGGAGCAAACAGGAUUAGAUACCCCGGUAGUCCCUGUCUCUUAUAA
rnacentral:rRNA from 1 species